GACGAACGCUGGCGGCGUGCUUAACACAUGCAAGUCGAACGGUGACGAGGAGCUUGCUCCUCUGAUCAGUGGCGAACGGGUGAGUAACACGUGAGCUACCUACCCUUGACUCCGGGAUAACAGUUGGAAACAGCUGCUAAUACCGGAUACGACCUCCGCAGGCCUCUGCAGAGGUGGAAAGCUCCGACGGUCAAGGAUGGGCUCGCGGCCUAUCAGCUUGUUGGUGAGGUAACGGCUCACCAAGGCGACGACGGGUAGCCGGCCUGAGAGGGCGACAGGCCACACUGGGACUGAGAUACGGCCCAGACUGCAACGGGGGGAAGCAGUGGGGAAUAUUGCACAAUGGGCGAAAGCCUGAUGCAGCAACGCCGCGGGCGGGAUGACGGCCUUCGGGUUGUAAACCGAUUUCAGCCGGGACGAAGUGAAAAUGACGGUACCUGCAGAAGAAGCACCGGCUAACUACGUGCCAGCAGCCGCCGUAACAC
rnacentral:rRNA from 1 species